CCCAUUUUGACAUGACUUCAGAGGAAGAGCACAAAAGUUUUGAUGAUGCUCAAUGUACCCAGUCUCAGGUAUUUUCUGAGGAUCAUCCACAGAUAUGUGUUUCUCACUCAUCUGGAGAGAAACAUCAUAAAGCAAAAGAGAAAGAAGAUGGACAUGUCCAUGGUUUCUCCUAGUGAUGGGACAGAGAACAAGC